UAGGGAAUCUUCGGCAAUGGGGGGAACCCUGACCGAGCAACGCCGCGUGAGUGAAGAAGGUUUUCGGAUCGUAAAGCUCUGUUGUUAAGGAAGAACGAGUGUGAGAAUGGAAAGUUCAUGCUGUGACGGUACUUAACCAGAAAGGGACGGCUAACUACGUGCCAGCAGCCGCGGUAAUACGUAGGUCCCGAGCGUUGUCCGGAUUUAUUGGGCGUAAAGCGAGCGCAGGCGGUUAGAAAAGUCUGAAGUGAAAGACAGUGGCUCAACCAUUGUAGGCUUUGGAAACUGUUUAACUUGAGUGCAGAAGGGGAGAGUGGAAUUCCAUGUGUAGCGGUGAAAUGCGUAGAUAUAUGGAGGAACACCGGUGGCGAAAGCGGCUCUCUGGUCUGUAACUGACGCUGAGGCUCGAAAGCGUGGGGAGCGAACAGG
rnacentral:rRNA from 2 species